AUUUCCACAACCAGACAUGUCUUCACCAAGCAGCAACUUUGAAAAUCUUUCCUUCAUCAUCUCAACCUCUGAUAAACAAGACCCUUGUUUCUCCAACUUCCUUUUAUCCACAUGGGGUUGCUCCAUUCCUUCAGAACUGGCUUUCUUCUGAACAUGCCAAACAAUUGAAGGGGGUGAACAUGAAUCUUCAGAGCUACUAUGUUCUUCAUCAUUCACAGUUCCUUCAGAAACCAAGAAAUCAGAACUUACACUACUCUCUAUACCCUCCUCCUCAUACACAAAAGACUCAAUUUUUA
rnacentral:misc_RNA from 1 species